ACGGAGGAUCCGAGCGUUAUCCGGAUUUAUUGGGUUUAAAGGGAGUGUAGAUGGAUGUUUAAGUCAGUUGUGAAAGUUUGCGGCUCAACCGUAAAAUUGCAGUUGAUACUGGAUAUCUUGAGUGCAGUUGAGGCAGGCGGAAUUCGUGGUGUAGCGGUGAAAUGCUUAGAUAUCACGAAGAACUCCGAUUGCGAAGGCAGCCUGCUAAGCUGCAACUGACAUUGAGGCUCGAAAGUGUGGGUAUCAAACAG
rnacentral:rRNA from 1 species